UGCCCGGGGGCGGGAGGCGGGGCGUUCGGCGGAAGCCGCAAUGGGAGGCCCUAGCCCCGCCCCUUUCCCGCCCCCGUGCUCUCGCCUCUGUCCCCCUCCCCGCGCGUACGUCUUGGAGCUGCCGCGCAGAAAGGACGAGAUGUAUAUUGAACAAUCCCACACAUGAGGCUGUAUGCUGGGCCCUGAAACCUAGAGGUGAACAAGGUGAUCCUUGUGGGACUCAGCACCUUAACCCAACCCAAGAAGAUAUCCAAGAAGAGCUAUCUUGAUCGGAGCAUAGAAAAUACUGUGGCAGUACCAGGGAUCAAAAUCCGAACCUUGCGCUUUCAAGACAGUUGUUUCCUGCAGGCUUUGUGAAGCAGAACUUCAGCCUCUACUGACUGCUUGUCCAGAUCAAAAGGUGUUUCCUGCAAGAUGAUUUGGCCUUGCCUGCAGGUACAUCUGUGGACCACAGCACACCGAAGAUGCAACACCCCUCCCCAUAUGUGCACAGGCCUGGCUUCUUGGCUACACAUCACACAUCAACUCUGCUGCUCAGGCCAGAUGCUAAAAUCCCCAUAUUGUUGGAAGUGGGAAUGAGCCCAGCUGAAAAGACUACACCCCCCAGCUUCCUCUGCAACCAGGGAUGGACGAUGAGAUGUAAACAGAAACAAUUAAGAUGAUGACCCUGUGGCUAAAUUGACAUUGGAGCCAAGAACCUUGAAACUUGGAGCACAGGUCAACCAGCAGCCAGUUGACCCAUCUGACUGAAGAUAAAAGAGUUAGAAGAGUUUCAUGGGUGAUCCUAAAAGCUGGUUCUUUGCUCUGCCUUAUCCCGGGACUCUUGAGUUAGUCUCUUCUUCACAUCAGGCACUUCAUUAUUCCACAAGGGUAUUUUAGUUUCUGUAGUGUAAUGGUUAACAUGUUUGCUUGACACAGGGAUAUUCUCAACUCUCAUGUCCUGGGGAGGGAUUACAGGCACUGCCCCUAGGGAGUUUAUAGUCUACAAGGAGACACACAUGACCAUCACACCAGCAUGACAUAAUCACACUGAGAUGAGGGUCAGGAAGGAGGGACAGGUGAGGUUUGAGAGCACUUGGUGACAGGAUUUCACCUAAGGGGUUUGGAAGUGAUUACAGUUGAGAAGGGCAGGAUGUGUAGAUGAGCAGCCAGACAUGGAAGGUAGCCUGAUGCCAAGAACAGGGCCGAGGUCCCUGAGACCUGGGCCUAUUUCUGAGUGCAGGUCUCUCUUGUGCCCAAAGGCAUUUCAAAGAGUGCUUUUUGGCCUUUAAGAAAAUGCUAUUAUUUGUCACUGAGGUGACAUUUGCAGGCCAUGAUGGCAAGUUAUCUUUCAGGGUCCAAGCAGAGAAUGGCCCAGUGGUGUUUGGCAGCUGGUUCCUUUCCACGUGAGAGAGCUGAUUGUGCACAUCUCCUUCGGACUCCACAUUCAGUUACAUCACCUCAGUCAGAAAGGGAGUAUUUCUGGCAAGGAAGUCGGCAAACACCACAGAUCAAACUCCCUGCCAAGUGAGGGCAAACAUUUCUUACCAUGCUACUGAGCACAGACCACCUCUCCCAGUGACAGAGAAAAAACUCGGUUUCUUAGAGCAUCACAAAUAUUCUUGAAAAGGUUGGAUUUAUGACAAAGUGAUAUGAUAGUUUGUGGAUCCUGCCUGAGAGAGACAGAAAAAGAGAGAUGCUGCUGACCCACAUGGAAAUCUAGCAUGAUUUCUGACAUGUGUAGAACAUUUGCUGACAAUCGGCUUUCCAGAAGCAGAACCUCCUAAAUUGAGAAGGAUCAAGGUGUUGGAAUUGAUCAGUCAGUGCUGCUGGUGAUUCCCUCCAUGGUCAGAUGCUGUUACCAGGGUCAAGGGGCAGAGAGUAAAGGUAACCAAAACCUCAUUCCUCCCCUCUGAGGACUAGCAGUUGGUCAGCAACAUAGGACAGGUACAAAUUAUGUGUAUAAUUCUCAUCUCCUGCGUUCAACCACUUCAGUGCUUUGGGAGGGCCUGAUUCAGAUGAGACACGUCAGGAGAGCAUGAAUCAUCCUGGUCAUCCUUGUAUUUUUCACAGACAAUCUCAGCAUAAAAGAUGUUGCCUCUUGAACUAAUGCAUCCCAUGAAAGAGAACCUGGUAAAUUCACAUAGCUAGAUCAUCUCCUCACCCCAUGUUCAUCAGUCCAUCCUGAUGAACUCAGCUUAGGGAACCCCUGAGAAGCCUUCCCUAGUGCCCCUGAGACUGAGGAGAUGUGCCACUCAUAAUCUUUGACUUCCCAGGAUGUUUUCAUACCCCAUCCACUGGGAUGUCUUCAUCUUGUUCAAUCUUCUAGCACUGGUUCAUGGGACAAUGUUUGGCCUGGUAAGAUCUAAUGUAUUAGCUGGGUGUGGUGGUGCACGCCUGUAAUCCCAGCACUGGGGAGGCUGAGGCAAGAGGACUGCUAUGAGCUGGAAGACAGCCUGAAGGACAUAUUGAGUUGAAGGUCAGCCUGCACUACAUAGCCAGACCCUGUCUCAAGAAAAAACAAAGCAAAACAAAACAAAAGAUCUAAUGUAUGAAUAUGGGGAAUGUGUGAAUAUGGGUGCAAAGAGGAACUUGAAGUUCAGAAAAGAUUGGAGAAAGACACAAUUAACAUGCUCCUCUUUCAUGUGAGUCAUAUGAAGGGCAGCAGAAUGUGACCUCAGAAUAUGCCAUGUUGGCAAAAGGAUUAUUUUGAGCUGAAGGCAACUGAGAAGGAGCAGAUGCAAAGAAAGCUCUCUGGUAUACUCCUAUUUGCUUCAAAAUAGGACAUAAAUUUGUAAAGAUGUCCAUCCUCCUCUCUCUACCAAGAACAGAAGUUAAUCAUAGGACACAACUAGACUUCUGUCAGCCCAAGAGGACACUCAAGGAAAGCUUCUCAACAAACCUCAGUCUGCAGCCCUCAGCCUCCCUCAGUGCCCCCAUGUAUCUCUUUUCCUACAUUUUGGUGUCCUAGGAGCUCCCCUUUCCUUUGUCUUGUCACUGCUGUACAGUGUAUUUAUUUUUUCAUUCAUCAAGAUGCCACAUGAACCCAGGUCCCCCCACCUCCUUGAGUUACUUGUCAGUGGGUAUUCCUCUGUGAAAGCAGGGUGCACACUCUAAUAGACUCAUUUGUGUUUCCCUGUCACCAGUCUGAUUUAUAGGAGAAUUUAGGAGGGUAGCAGGAAAAUGGCUUUAGCUUUAUUAAACCUUACAAACAACCCUGUAAGGGUAUUUCUAUUAUUCUCAUCUCAUCAUACAGAGAAAGAACUGAAGAUCAGAGUUGCUAAGUAGCUUACCCAAAGUCACACAGCUCAUGAAAGGAGGAGGUAAUUUUUUUUUAUUAAAUUCUUUUAUU